rnacentral:rRNA from 1 species
UCGGGAAUUUUGGGCAAUGGGGGAAACCCUGACCCAGCAACGCCGCGUGAAGGAUGAAGUAUUUCGGUAUGUAAACUUCGAAAGAAUAGGAAGAAUAAAUGACGGUACUAUUUAUAAGGUCCGGCUAACUACGUGCCAGCAGCCGCGGUAAUACGUAGGGACCAAGCGUUGUUCGGAUUUACUGGGCGUAAAGCGCGCGUAGGUGGUUUGUUAAGUUGGAUGUGAAAUCCCCGGGCUCAACCUGGGAACUGCAUUCAAAACUGACUGACUAGAGUAUGGUAGAGGGUGGUGGAAUUUCCUGUGUAGCGGUGAAAUGCGUAGAUAUAGGAAGGAACACCAGUGGCGAAGGCGACCACCUGGACUAAUACUGACACUGAGGUGCGAAAGCGUGGGGAGCAAACAGGAUUAGAUACCCCCGUAGUCCCUGAGCGGGCUGGCAAGGCGCAU